AGCAGCCGCGGUAAUUCCAGCUCCAAUAGCGUAUAUUAAAGUUGUUGCAGUUAAAAAGCUCGUAGUUGAACUUCGGGGUCUACCCAUUGGUCGGGCUUAAUUGUCUGCACUGGUGAGAUGGAUCUCUACCUUCUGAGGAACUUUCAUGCCAUUUAUUUGGUGUGGUUGGAAAUCAGGACUGUUACUUUAGAAAAAAUUGAGUGUUUAAAGCGGACUAUCGUCUGAAUACAUUAGCAUGGAAUAAUGAAAUAGGACGGACUGAUUCUAUUCGUUGGUUUCUAGGAUCACCGUAUGAUUAAUAGGAUAGUUGGGGCAUUAGUAUUCAAUUGUCAGAGGUGAAAUUCGUUAGGAUUUAGUAGAAGACUUAACUACGUGACGAAAGC
rnacentral:rRNA from 1 species